CAAGUACCGUGAGGGAAAGUUUAAAAGUACUUUGAAGAGAGAGUUAAGAGGGCGUGAAACCGGUGAGGUGGAAGCGGAUAGAGCCGAUGUUCUGCUCGUGAUUGGGGGUGCUUGCGCUCCGUACGGUCGCGGGUGGAGCGCUGAGGGCCGUUGGUUUCGGGUGCCGGGUCGGGGUCUGCUUGCAGCUUCUAGUUGCAUUCGCCCCGUCUUCGGUUCCUUGAGUCGGCGGUCUCCCGUGUGUCUGCAUUUGGCCCGCUUGGGGAAUCGGUGAUUCGGUGUCCACGCUUGCGAGGAUGCCGCAUUAUCUUAUUUCCCGAUGAGUUGAGGCGGGCGCACCUCGGCGUACAGUUGGUCAUCUAUCCGACCCGUCUUGAAACACGGACCAAGGAGUUUAGCGCAUGCGCGAGUCACUGGGACUUGAAACCCACAGGCGCAAGGAACGUAAUGCGUGCGAUCCGGUCGCCUAGGCGUAGGAGCAGCACGGCCCUGCGGCGCCGCAUGCGGCGUUGUGGAGGCGGAGCGCAUGCGAUGGGACCCGAAAGAUGGUGAACUAUUCCCGAGCAGGACGAAGCCGGGGGAAACUCCGGUGGAAGUCCGAAGCGGUUCUGACGUGCAAAUCGAUCGUCUGACUUGGGUAUAGGGGC
rnacentral:rRNA from 2 species